rnacentral:rRNA from 1 species
CGAAGCUGGAAUCGCUAGUAAUCGCGAAUCAGAAUGUCGCGGUGAAUACCGUUCCCGGGUCUUGUACACACCGCCCGUCACACCAUGGGAGUCAGUAACGCCCGAAGUCAGUGACCGAACCGAGAGGACGGAGCUGCCGAAGGCGGGACGGAUAACUGGGGUGAAGUCGUAACAAGGUAUC